rnacentral:rRNA from 1 species
UACGAAGGGUGCAAACGUUGCUCGGAAUCAUUGGGCGUAAAGCGCACGUAGGCGGCUUCGCAAGUCGGAUGUGAAAUCCCUCGGCUCAACCGAGGACGUGCAUACGAAACUGCGGAGCUUGAGUGCUGAAGAGGAUCGCGGAAUUCCCGGUGUAGAGGUGAAAUUCGUAGAUAUCAGGAGGAACACCGAUGGCGAAGGCAGCUCGCUGGGACGGUACUGACGCUGAGGCGCGAAAGCGUGGGGAGCAAACAGG